UGGACCCUUUCAGCCUGACCCAUUCUGGGAUUCUGUGAGGGGAAAUGCAAAGUGAUGCCUGGGUGUGGUGCUGUAGGAAAAGGUGAAAAAACAACAAUUUUAACAAACAUUCUUUGAAUAGGGAAAGGCAGGUGAUUUCAAUUAAAAUAGCACGUGGCAAAGCCCACCAGAAGAGGUACUGCAGGGGCUACUGAAGCACACACACCCAGGAUUGCCCUGGUUGAACUUCAAAUGGUUGGUGAUUGCCCAGCCCUCUGAUUUGUCUGGGUCUCUGCAGGGCCUCCCUUCCCUCAAGGGAGUCAGCAGCCCCUCCCAGUUUAGUGUCCUUGGCAAACUUAGUAUCCCACCCAAGUCGUUGAUGGGGAUGUUGAAGAGCACAGGGCUGAGGCUGGGCCCUGUGGAACCCCCGUGGGGACAGGACACCAGCCUGCUGUCACCCCAUCCACUGCAGCCCUUGGUGCUGACCCGUGAGCCAAAGCUCACCCAUCCCAUGAUGUGUUUAUCCAGCUGUGUGCUGGACAUUUUGUCCACAAGGAUCUGGGAGAGACAGUACUGAAUGUUUUACUGAAAUCCAAAAGGAUUGCAUAACUGGCUCAUUAACAUUUUUAAUUAGGUCUAUUUAUAGGACUAAUAAAACUGAAAAGCUUUUUGAUUCAGAACACCUUCAAAGGUAUUUGCAAAAGUAUGAAGUCAAAGUGUCCUGUGUUUUUAUGGCUUGCUGCUUGCAGCAGAAGCCUGGAGUACUGCCUUAAGGGACAUUAAAUCUGAUGUUGCUGGCAGAGCAUCAACAUUCCAAUAACAAAAGAGGGUCUGUGGGCCUGUUAAAGCUGGUAUCAGAGAUCCAGGCUGAUAUCCAAGUGCUGAGUCAUUGAGUCACAGUAAAGCUGCUAUCAAAGAAACUUAAUUGUUUAAGAACUUUCAACUCAUCUCUGGGAACAUGAGAGAAAGGUCUGGUCACCUCACCCAACUUCAGCUGUCUCAAACAUCCAGUCUGAGGCCAUUGACUGUGAAGAGAGAGGAGGAGAGGGCACCUCCAGGGCUCAGUUCCUUCCACCCUCUUUGGAGAUGUGUUUUAGGAAAGGAACCACCCACCAGAGCUCUGUCCCAGGGCUGCCUUUUCUCCCCAAGUGCCACCUCACAGAUGCCUGAAGCCAAGUGAGAUGAAUUCAGCCCUAACUGGCAGCUAUAACCUAAUGAUGGAAAUCACGUGGCAGCGUUCCAGGAGGUAUUGGCAAUUCACAGAGUUCCCAGAUUCUUUUUUUAAACCAUCUUUUAUGAUUUAUGGAGGUCAAUUAUAUAAAGCCCAUCAGAACACAAGAAAUGUUUAAAAAUGCUGCAUUAGAGAGACAUUAAUGUUAAUCCUCCUAAGGUGGUAAUGGCUGUAGCCUUCCCAGCCUGCUGCUCUGCCCUGCUGUGUAAUGCAUCCAGUUUUUCUAUUUACAGAUUUACAGAUUCUAUUUUUGGUGUUAACAAAGAAUAUGAGCAUAUGUAUCAAAGACUGUUCUCAUAUCAUCUAAUUAUAGUACUGCUGGCAAAGUAAUUCUGGAAAGUGCCACUUAAUUAAAUGUAAGCAUUAACUUUUUCCUGAUAGUUUAUCAGAAACAAUUAGACUUGAAAUAUGUGCAAUACACCUAGAGUUUAAAACUUUCAGUAGAAGCAUUAAAAGCACAAAAUAACCCAAUUUCUCUUGCAUCCUCCAGUGUUUUCCUGCUGAGCACAACCUCAGUUUUCAUCUGUACAGUGUGUCUUAGGUAGUCUAGAGGCUGCAAGUUUAUCUGGACUCCUCUUUGUGUGCAAAAAGCUGAGCUAAGAGAAUGCUUUUGAAAGUAGUUAAACCACUUCAGCAUAGUUGAUGUUUUUGCCAUUUCCUCCUGAAAUAUCAGAUGUAUUUUGCUGACUAUUUGAGGUCUGCACACAACAACCCAGGAACUGUUGGGGGCAAUCAGACAAUCUCACAGCUUAUGCCAAAUGCUUAUUCUUUGCAAGGGCAGCUUGAUCAGCAUUUAUGUUCAUUAACUUGAUCAGGGAUAUGCUUUUUUGUCCAUGUGACAAUGUGAAAUAUUAGUUAAUUCCAUGUAAUUUUUCAUCAAUAGCCAGAUUUAUCUAUCAGAUAAUUACACCUAAAGUAUCUCUGCAGAACUUUGAGCUCUGCUGCUUUUUACCUGAAAAGUGAAGAGGGGAAAAAAGAAAAACAGAGCUGUAAAGAAAAUAAUUCUUAAGUAAAGAUACAAGGUCUAAAAGAAACAAUUCCUUCAGAAGGUUUGUUUGACAACAUACAGCAAAACUACAUAGCAACUGAGGAGAGAUGCUUUUCCCAGGUCUAACAUUUGGGCAAGCAGCAGUAGCAGGAGGAUCUGAAAUAACACCAUCUGGUGAAUGCCUGUUUCUUUCUUCAGCAAUCAAGAACUAUGUGUAACUAUAAACAAGGAAUAAAAUAGAAAUAAUGCAAAACUACUUUUCAGUUAAAUGUUACACAGAAUGAACAAACAGCUGCUCUGGGAAUGCAGAAAAGAAUGAUGUUAAAUAUAGUAGGAAAUUUGAGCAUGCUGCUCCUAUAAAUACAUGAACCAACUUUGCACACAGAAUUUAUGAUUCUGCAGAGCUGUGGACAGGGAAGCUUAGGCCCAGACUGGAGAGCAACUAUUCUAGCAAUAAAUGUAGCAACGAUUUAACCAUCACACAAGGAGAGCUCAUCCCUUGACAGUGUGAAAUCAAGCUGCAGGACAUCUGUGCCUGCCUUUAUGUCCCAUUUUUUGCCAGUCAGAAUGCCUAUGUUUCUCCUGUUUGACAGUCUGAUGUGAUUUGCCGAAUUUUGGGCUACUCAACCUUCAGAAGACAGUCAAAAUACAGGAGUUUGCACAAGAGGUUGCACUUGGGUGUUUGAUACUGUUGGUGGCAGAAGCAAAUAUACAUUUAGGUGAUUUAACGUUAAUCCUAUGGUUUUUAUAUCAAUAUUUAGCAUCCUAUCUGUAAAAAUUUGUGAAAGUAACUCAGAGCUCAGUUUUUACAAAGACUGCUAUUUUACAUUGAUAAGAGUAUUGCAAAAUCCUUGAAAAGUCAAAGCAGAACUGGAAGUUGAAAAAGCAAAGCCACAAAAUCUUAAAUCCAACCUUACCUGGUAAGUGCCACUGAUUAACCACCACAGGAAUCUGGUAAGGAAGAGACUGUCACUUAACUCAGUCCCCAGUCACAUCAAACUCCACAAAAGGUAUUUUGAAGAUGCUGCUGGGGUCACUAACAAGGCAGAGCAAGAUGAUUGAGGUUUUGGAGGCUGUGUCAUAUGAGGAGAGGCUGAGAGAGCUGAUGCUGUUCAGCCUGGAAAAGGCUCAGAUUCCAUAGUACUGCCCCACAGGACAAGAGGCAAGGGGCACAAAUUGGAAUACAAGAAAUGUGUUUAAACCUGAUUUAAAAGGUUUUAUUGUGAAGUUAAUUGAACACUGAAAACAGAUUGCCCAGAGAAAUUGUGGAUUCUCCAUCCAAGAAGACAUUCAGAACUCCACAGGUGAAGGUCUUGCAACCUGCUGUAGGUGACCCUGCUUUGAGCUGGGGGUUGGAAGAGGUGAUCUCCACACAUUCCUCCUGACUUCAGCUAUUCUGUUCUCUCUAAUGGAUUCAACUCGUGUAACUUCAUGAUCACUUCUUGCCUUGUUUUGUAUCUCUACACACAUGAGAAAUUUAAUGCCCUUUCCAGAGUACCAGAUACAUACUGAAAAACAGGUCAGAUACAUGGGCAUUUGUCUUUUUAUUAAUGUUGCAAAUUAGGAGAUGCCCUACAAGAGGAGUUUCCUGUAGUUUUAUGUCUACCACAUUUUUAGUAGCAGGUAAGCUGAAGCAUAUAUGCUGCUAUUUCUAAACAUUCAAAAUAAAUAUGCACCAUACUAACUUUAUAAAUAUUAAAGUAGAACUAAAAGUGUAUUUAGCAAACAAAAUAAUAAAUAAGCAAAGGGAAGCAGAUAAGUCUAAUUAUCAAAGGAGAUAAAACUAAAUUGCACGUUCAAAGGAGCCCACAUGUGCUAGAAUUCCAGAAACAGUUGAAAGAGACAUUUUUGUGUUUGCUGACAGAAAUUUUUGUGUUUGCUGAAGAGUAGCAUUCUUCACUAUCAAUUACAGCUUCUCAGACUUCUAUCCAUGGAGUUUUAUUCUUUCCAAAGAUUCUGAACAAGGUUUUACAAAUCAGAGCAAGUGCAUUGUUUGAAAGACACCCUGAAAACAAAGGUAAACCUCAGAGCUGCAGCAUCCUUGCCAGAGUGGGAAACCACAGCUCGAAAGCUGAAGGGCAGGAACCAUCCCAAAGCAGCAGAACCACAGGAAUGUUUAGGUUGGAAAACAGCAAUGUCUGAGCCCAGCCAUUAACCCAGCACUGCCAAUCCCACCACUGAACCAAGUCCCUCAGUGGCACAUCAACAGGAAUUUGAAAUUCCUCCAUGAAUGGUGACUCCAGCACUGCCUCGGGUGGCCAGUUCCAACAGUACUACCUUCAAGACCAACAAGCAGUUAAUAUUACAUUCUUUUAGAACCUAAUUAGUACCAUCGGUUUUUAACAAGAGAAUGCCCAAUUUACUGCAAAAAUGAAAGAGUGUUUCUGCAGAGUUUCAAUAAAACUCAAAUUAUUUUAUUCACAAAAGCAGAAGUCAAUAAAAAUAUAGAUAUCCUGAUCAAUUUUACAGACCAUGUUCUUCUCUCCUUCACUGACAGGCAAAAGCAUCAUGAAAAAAAAGUAACAAGCAUUUACAUCACAAACCAUUAUUAACACAGAUCCGUGUAUAUGAGCAAAUAUUACAGGUCCAACAAACAUUCCUUUUGUUUUUUUUCUGUGCUAUUGUGUUUUUCCGUGGUGAAUAUGUGCUGUCUCACUGGUAUUUAACUAAGUUUUUGGUAGAAACUGAAAUGUAUGAACUCACUGCAUUCAAAGUGUUUUCUCUGAAUUCUAAACCCCUUUAUAGGAUUAAAUGAGGAUGUUCAUGCUAUAUUACUCAAGAGAUGCAGAAAAAAAAAAAAAUCAACAUUGCUACUAACAGAAUCAGGAAGUUCAGGUUUUAUUAUUUUUAUGGAGCAGCUCCCUAAAAAAUACCUGAAGAUAUCCUCAUCAUUCAAAUCCAACUUCUGUCAGCUCAGUGUUUACACAGGGAACUGGAAGAAAAUCUUUGCUCUUUUGAAGAUAUAUAAAUGUUCCCUAGAAAUCAGUUUUGUAACGUUUAUACAAGUCUGGCUUUCAGGACCAUGAUGGAAGACAACAGAGAUUAAAGACAAGGCCAAUUACUCCUGGUUUGGUUUGCAGUGCUUUUUUUUUUUUUUUUUAAAUCCACCUAAUAGGACUGAACUCCCAUCUGGAAAAACUGUCAUUGAAAUAAAGAGACCAAGUGCUAAUUUUAUGUCUUUAUUCCACUUUUAACACCUUUGAACUUUGUAGAGAUGAAAAAUUCGUGAACUCUUCCAUCAUACAGACCUUGACAAAAAUGUUUGUAGAACAGGUUACAAAAUUACAAACCCAAACCUACUUGAAAACAAAAACCAAUCAGAAAAUGCUUGCUUUUUCAAAAAGCAAGUAAUGAACUAGGAGGAAGAAACACCGUAGUACAGAAACUUACUUUAUGGAAGGGUUAUCUUGUACAGAAACCAACCCCAAACUCAUAAUUAUUACUGCUAUAAUUCUGAUGAUCAAAUUUACAAUAAAAUUUCGGAUUGCUUGUAUGCAGAGUGCUCCUGCCUCUGCCUACCUCAGCCCUGGGAGCAUCACCACCGGGGAACAGUUUA